rnacentral:rRNA from 1 species
UUACUAAAAGUGAAACCGCGAAUGGCUCAUUAAAUCAGUUAUGGUUUAUUAGAUCGUCCCAACCACAUGGAUAACUGUGGUAAUUCUAGAGCUAAUACAUGCUGAAACGUCGAAUCGCGAGGUUCGACUGCUUUUAUUAGAACAAAAACUAACUGUUUUUGUGGUGACUCUGGAUAACUUUGUGCCGAUCGCAUGGUCUCGUACCGGCGACGUAUCUUUCAAAUGUCUGCCUUAUCAACUGUCGAUGGUAGGUUAUACGCCUACCAUGGUUGUAACGGGUAACGGAGAAUCAGGGUUCGAUUCCGGAGAGGGAGCCUGAGAAACGGCUACCACAUCCAAGGAAGGCAGCAGGCGCGCAAAUUACCCACUCCCGGCUCGGGGAGGUAGUGACGAUAAAUAACAACGCAGGUCUCAAA